rnacentral:lncRNA from 1 species
UCGGGGGAAGGUAAUGCUUACCAUUAGGUAGUUCUUGCGGGUGGAACUCUGGCCUAAUUUGAAGGUCAACUAGAUCCUUACAUGAUUUUAGUCCAUCAUUUGCCUUACCUGAUAAGCCCAAGAAUCCGAUGGUGCUAUCGAACACAUUCUUCUGAAGAUACAUCACAUCAAUGGCAUGGCGCACCGCCAGCUCUCGCCAGUGUGGCAAAUACUGAAAGAAGAUAUACAUCUUCUUAAACAGCACAUCUGUGACAUCUUUUGUUUCAGUCGGCUUCC